UGCCCCAUGGCCCAGCUGGUUAAGGCGUCCGACUGUUAAGCGCUUCGAUAGAAGAUGUUAGCACAUCGGGAGAUCGAGAGUUCGAUCCUCUCUGGGGCAG